rnacentral:rRNA from 1 species
AACGAACGUUAGCGGCGCGCUUAACACAUGCAAGUCGUGCGAGAAGGGACUUCGGUCCUGGUACAGCGGCGCACGGGUGAGUAACACGUAGGUAAUCUGCCUCCGAGUGGUGGAUAACUCUCCGAAAGGAGGGCUAAUACAGCAUAAGACCACGCUUUCGAAAGAAAAUGCGGUCAAAGUCGGCCUCUAUUUAUAAGCUGGCGCUUGGAGAUGAGCCUGCGGCCCAUCAGCUAGUUGGUAAGGUAAUGGCUUACCAAGGCAGAGACGGGUAGCUGGUCUGAGAGGAUGAUCAGCCACACUGGAACUGAGACACGGUCCAGACUCCUACGGGAGGCAGCAGUGGGGAAUCUUGCGCAAUGGGCGAAAGCCUGACGCAGCGACGCCGCGUGAGUGAUGAAGGCCUCGGUUGUAAGUACGUCUGUGGGAGGAGACGGAAUAAGUUACUAGGCGAAGUACCUACGAAUAGAUGACGGUAGUACUUCUUAG